rnacentral:piRNA from 1 species
UGUCAAAAAUAUGUUUUAACUGGAAUGGUA